GACGGAGGAUGCAAGUGUUAUCCGGAAUCACUGGGCGUAAAGCGUCUGUAGGUGGUCAAAUAAGUCAACUGUUAAAUCUUGAGGCUCAACCUCAAAAUCGCAGUCGAAACUAUUCGACUAGAGUAUAGUAGGGGUAAAGGGAAUUUCCGGUGGAGCGGUGAAAUGCGUAGAGAUCGGAAAGAACACCAACGGCGAAAGCACUCUGCUGGGCCGACACUGACACUGGAGAGACGAAAGCUAGGGGAGCGAAUGGG
rnacentral:rRNA from 1 species